UACGUAGGCAGCAAGCGUUGUUCGGAGUUACUGGGCGUAAAGCGUGCGUAGGUGGUUCGUUAAGUCUGAUGUGAAAGCCCUGGGCUCAACCUGGGAAUGGCAUUGGAUACUGGCGAUCUAGAGUGCGGUAGAGGGCAGUGGAAUUCCCGGUGUAGCAGUGAAAUGCGUAGAGAUCGGGAGGAACAUCUGUGGCGAAGGCGACUGCCUGGACCAGCACUGACACUGAGGCACGAAAGCGUGGGGAGCAAACAGG
rnacentral:rRNA from 1 species